UGAGAUCCAGCCCCGCGUCGCACGGAUUCGUCCCUCCCCCCACUCUACGCACCGCCUAGCGACUAGGUUUCGAACCCACGGGAGAGGGGCACCGGUCUUCCGGACGGAAACGGCCAAGGCGCAGCGUGGCCGAAGACCGCCGUGGGUUCGUGCACGACCAAAAAAAAAGCCAAGUCCAAGCGUGUGCAAGGACACCGAAGCUGCGACGUAUGCCUUGGGUGAAGGGCAGGAUGGCGACGGGGCGGCAUGGCUGUUCGGCCUUGCGUUUGGGCCGAAAACGAGGGGUUCGCCCAUGGCGCAGGGGCGGAAAACCGAGGUUCGGGCAUGGCCCCGGAAAUAAGCUAAGUCCAAGCGUGUGGAAAGACACCGAAGGUAAUAUGUAUGUCUUGGGUGAAGGGCAUGGCGGAACGGAGGGAAAACGGCACGGAGGCGCAAGGCGACGGGCGGCAUGGCUGUUCGGCCUUGCGUCUGGGCCGAAAAUGAGGGGUUCGCCCAUGGCGCACGGGCCGAAAACUGAGGCCCGGGCACGACCCCGAAAAUAAGCUUAGUGCAAGCGUGUGGAAUGGAAAGACAACGAAGCUAAGGUGUAUGUAUGGCUUGAGUGAAGGGCAAGGUGGAACGGAGGGAAAACGGGAGGAGGCGCGCGGCGACGGGCGGCAGGGCUGUUCGGCCUUGCGUCUGGGCUGAAAACGAGGUGUUCGCCAUGGCGCACGGGCCGAAAACGGAGGCUCGGGCACGAACUCGAAAAUAAGCUAAGUUCAAGCAUGUGGAAAGACACCGAACAUACAGUGUAUGUCUUUGGUGAAGGGCACAGUGGAACGGAGGGAAAACGACACGGAGGCACGCGGCGACGGGCGGCAUGGCUGUUCGGCCUUGCGUUUGGGCUGAAAACGAGGCGUUCGCCAUGUCGCGCGGGCCGAAAACAACGGUUCGGCCACGGCCUCGAAAAUAAGCUAAGUCCAAGCGCGUAGAAAGACACCGAAGCUAAUGUGUAAGUCUGGGCUGAAACGGAGGGAAAACGACACGGAGGCGCGCGGCGACGGGCGGCAUGGCUGUUCGGCCUUGCGUUUGGGCUGAAAACGAGGGGUUCGCCAUGGCGCACGGGCCGAAAACAACGGUUCGGGCACGGCCUCGGAAAUAAGCUAAGUCCAAGCGUGUAGAAAGACACCGAAGCUAAUGUGUAUGUCUUGGGUGAAGGGCACGGUGGAACGGAGGGAAAACGACACGGAGGCACGCGACGACGGGCGGCAGGGGCGUUCGGCCUUGCGUCUGGGCUGGAAACGAGGGGUUCGCCAUGGCGCGCGGGCCGAAAACGGAGGCUUGGGCACGAACUCGAAAAUAAGCUAAGUCCAAGCGUGUGGAAAGACACCGAACCUAAAGUGCAUGUCUUGAGUGAAGGGCAAGGUGGAACGGAGGGAAAAUUGGAGGAGGCGCGCCUCGACGGGCGGCAGGGCCGUUCGGCCUUGCGUAUUGGCUGAAAACGAGGGGUUCGCCAUGGCGCGCGGGCCGAAAAAAACGGUUCGGCCACGGCCGCGAAAACGAGCUAAGUCCCGGCGUGUGGAAAGACACCGAACCUAGAGCGCAUGUCUGGAGUGAAGGUGAAGGUGGAACGGAGGGAAAACGGGAGGAGGCGCGCGGCGACGGGCGGCAGGGCUGUUCGGCCUUGCGUAUGGGCUGAAAACGAGGUGUUCGCCAUGGCGCGCGGGCCGAAAACAACGGUUCGGCCACGGCCGCGAAAACGGGCUAAGUCCAAGCGCGUGGAAAGACACCGAGGCUGCUACGUAGGUCUCGGUUGAAGGGCACGGUGGAACGGAGGAAAAACGGGAGGAGACGCAAGGCAACAGGCGGCAGGGCUGUUCGGCCUUGCGUUUUGGGUGAAAACGAGGGGUUCGCCAUGGCGAACGGGCCAAAAACGGAUUUUUGGCCACGACCGCGAAAACGGGCACGUGGAAGGGCACAGGACCCUCCCGUGGUCACCCCGCGUGAGACGUGGAAGUUCGGGUCCACCCGUGAGGGAAAACGGGUCACGCUAGCGAAACCCUUGAUUCUGAGCAAAAACGCUGUGUCCAGCCAUCUUAGAUGGGUUUCGUGGGGUACUGGGAAAAUGCCCUGGUUUUCUGAAGGCAGAACUCCCCGAAGUCCUGGGAGGGGGUAUGCCCCUCAGGUAUAGUAGGGGGUAGGGAACUCGUGCAGCCGAAACCCGGGCGAAACGCUGCUGAAACCAUAGCGUUUCCAGCGUCUCCUCCAGGUCUCCUCGGCCGAGCCCCGCACCCCCUCGCGGCCUAGCCGUGGCCGGUCG
rnacentral:lncRNA from 1 species